UCCAAUGUGGUCUAGUGGUUAGGAAUCCUGGCUUUCACCCAGGCGGCCCGGGUUCGAUUCCCGGCAUUGGAA
rnacentral:tRNA from 1 species